rnacentral:rRNA from 1 species
GACGGGGGAUGUAAGCGUUAUCAGGAAUCACUGGGCGUAAAGCGUCUGUAGGUGGUGAUGCAAGUCACUGGUGCAAAACUCUGGCUCAACCGGAGGAAAUGCAGUGAAACUGCAUGACUAGAGUGUGGGAGAGGUAGAAGGAAUUACCUGAGUAGCGGUGAAAUGCGUAGAUACAGGGAAGAACACCGGAGGCGAAAGCGUUCGACUGGGACACAACUGACACUGAUAGACGAAAGCUAGUGGAGCGAAUGGG